rnacentral:lncRNA from 1 species
AGUCGCGGAGAUGUUUAGUGAGAUCUGUCUAUUUCCCUGCUCAUCCAGCAUGAAACGGUGUUAAAUAGAAAGUUUUUGUGUUGACCUAGCCCCCGACAGGCUGCAUUUUCCUGCCUUACUGUACUUACCGAGCCUCCAAAUGAAUGCAAGGUGCCUAUCAGGCAGAAACAAUAAAAUCCUGUGGACUUGUAUUCGAGGUCCUAUGCCUUGCAAAGAUAUGUAAAUAUUGCUUUUGAUUCUUUCAGAAGCGAGUGUGCAAGCUGUUAGAAACCCUUCCAAAUGAGGCCGAUGCUCGCCUCAUUGACUGUGCUAUGGAGCUGGAUUCCAAACAGAAGCUCUCCUCUGGCUGCGGUCCGUGGGAUGCAAAGACAAAGCCAAAUUCUAUGGUUUUUGAAAACCAAGGAAGCAGAGGUACUGCCCAGCCGUGCCCGAGAUGUAUUGCUGGAGAAUCUGGACACUUCAAUCAUAUCCUGGGCUUCUAGAGAUUGAGAAACUGCACCUCAGCAACACUUUCUAAAUGCUAAAGACACCCCUGUGAACACCGUACAGCUGGAUAUCUGUACCUGCCCUCACGGUGUGGAUUUGUGUGUGGUAUGCAGCAUACAGCACUUUGCUGUACGCGUUACUCUUCCCAUGUAUGAUUGCAACUGACAUUGUUUUUACACUUGAAAAAAUGCUUCUGCUUUUAAGGUAGCUCAGCAGGUACAAAAAAUAUAUAUUUGAUUUAAGUUUUUAGAGUAGGUAAGCUCAUUGAGUCUUUGGCCCAGUCUUCACCCGGGACUGGAUCAAAGAUCAUGCUGAUACAAGAUAUUUUCCUGUCUCUCUUGCUCUGGUACUCUUGGGAGGUGGUCCUUGUGUUUACGUUGGUACAAGGCCUGCGUUUUUAGCUCAGCUCUGUGUAAGCAGGCAGAAAUAGAUGAAAUUCAUUUUUAUACAGAGAGCUAGUCAGCUUUGCAGCUCUGCGAAGGCCAGUAAAAAUCCUACUGAAACUUAAUGUUAUGGUAAAAUCCAAAGUAUGCAUCCAGUUCAGGAACCUUUUGUACAUGCUAAAGAUCUACUUCGUAACGAGUACAGUUUGUGAACGGGACAGGUAAAUAUCUAACAGAAAAAUCAGUAUUAUUGGAACAGCACUGUAAUGCAAAGAUGGAUGGUAUUUUAGAUCUAGGCACUUCUCUGAAAGUUGCUGAAGAUGCCAUUUGACACCCGGACUCCUCCUUCCCACUUACGGUAAUACUAGAACAAAUCUGUUUGAGAAGUUUGAGCUUGUUAUCCAACAUGAUUUUAUUGGCUGACCACAGAUAAUUUCCUCUACAUUUUGGCAGUAUGCAGGACUGUAAUUUUUAAACACAUUCAGAUUUUUAGUCUCUUAAGGUAUCUGAGUUGUGCUGCUUGGAUGUGACACCUCAGUGGCUGCUUCAGGUCCUAAAUCUCAGAACUGAGCAGCAGCGUGUUAACCUUCUGCAUUGGAGGGCAACUGCUGUGACCUGCCAAAGUUCAUGCAGGAAUCAAUCUCUGCUGUUGGAGAAGUGCUGAGCCAUAGCUGUACCCUGCUGCCACCGAGCCUGUGGGCAGAGUUCAGCCCAAAGCAGAUAUCGCAGGGAGAACAGCGUUUGGCCCCUCCUGUUUUGAAAGCAGACAUUAGGCAGUGCAAAUUAAAAUGGUGGCUCCAAAGUUGCAAAGAUCUAGUGACAGGCUUUUAAACCUUACUUUCCCAGUGGGGUUUAUCAUACUGUGAAAUGCUUAGACGAAGCUUUUCACAGUCUUAGAGUGCUUCCCAUGUUGUGUGUGGAGUUGUAGCUAGCACUGAGUUGACUGUUAUUAAGAAGAUAUUCUUCCUAAAUACAUGAAUAUCCUCUAAAUACUGAAUUGAAUUAAGUGAUAAAUGAGGAAAUAAGUCUGUUAAGCAGAGCUGCAGUAAAUUGGUAUCCAAAGUGUUUUGUUAGGAAAGAAUAAAUCUUCUCCAAGCCAAUAUAAAUUUUAGAUA